rnacentral:rRNA from 1 species
AUUGAACGCUGGCGGCAUGCUUUACACAUGCAAGUCGGACGGCAGCACAGAGAAGCUUGCUUCUUGGGUGGCGAGUGGCGAACGGGUGAGUAAUAUAUCGGAACGUACCGAGUAAUGGGGGAUAACUAAUCGAAAGAUUAGCUAAUACCGCAUAUUCUCUGAGGAGGAAAGCAGGGGACCUUCGGGCCUUGCGUUAUUCGAGCGGCCGAUAUCUGAUUAGCUAGUUGGUGGGGUAAAGGCCUACCAAGGCGACGAUCAGUAGCGGGUCUGAGAGGAUGAUCCGCCACACUGGGACUGAGACACGGCCCAGACUCCUACGGGAGGCAGCAGUGGGGAAUUUUGGACAAUGGGCGCAAGCCUGAUCCAGCCAUGCCGCGUGUCUGAAGAAGGCCUUCGGGUUGUAAUGGACUUUUGUCAGGGAAGAAAAGGCUGUUGCUAAUACCGACAGCUGAUGACGGUACCUGAAGAAUAAGCACCGGCUAACUACGUG